rnacentral:rRNA from 1 species
UGGGGAAUUUUGGACAAUGGGGGCAACCCUGAUCCAGCCAUGCCGCGUGUCUGAAGAAGGCCUUCGGGUUGUAAAGGACUUUUGUCAGGGAGCAAAGCCUGCCUGUGAAUAAUGGGUUGGGAUGAGAGUACCUGAAGAAUAAGCACCGGCUAACUACGUGCCAGCAGCCGCGGUAAUACGUAGGGUGCGAGCGUUAAUCGGAAUAACUGGGCGUAAAGGGUGCGUAGGCGGUUUGAAAAGUCUGAUGUGAAAUCCCCGGGCUCAACCUGGGAACGGCAUUGGAAACUGUCAAGCUAGAGUGCGUCAGAGGGGGGUAGAAUUCCACGUGUAGCAGUGAAAUGCGUAGAGAUGUGGAGGAAUACCGAUGGCGAAGGCAGCCCCCUGGGAUGACACUGACGCU